rnacentral:rRNA from 1 species
GCUUGCUGGGGUGGAUGAGUGGCGAACGGGUGAGUAACACGUGAGUAACCUGCCCAUCACUCUGGGAUAAGCGCUGGAAACGGCGUCUAAUACUGGAUACGAGCAGCGACCGCAUGGUCAGUUGCUGGAAAGACUGGUUCGGUGAUGGAUGGACUCGCGGCCUAUCAGCUUGUUGGUGAGGUAAUGGCUCACCAAGGCGACGACGGGUAGCCGGCCUGAGAGGGUGACCGGCCACACUGGGACUGAGACACGGCCCAGACUCCUACGGGAGGCAGCAGUGGGGAAUAUUGCACAAUGGGCGCAAGCCUGAUGCAGCAACGCCGCGUGAGGGAUGACGGCCUUCGGGUUGUAAACCUCUUUUAGUAGGGAAGAAGCCUUCGGGUGACGGUACCUGCAGAAAAAGCACCGGCUAACUACGUGCCAGCAGCCGCGGUAAUACGUAGGGUGCAAGCGUUGUCCGGAAUUAUUGGGCGUAAAGAGCUCGUAGGCGGCUUGUCGCGUCUGCUGUGAAAACCCGAGGCUCAACCUCGGGCCUGCAGUGGGUACGGGCAAGCUAGAGUGCGGUAGGGGAGAUUGGAAUUCCUGGUGUAGCGGUGGAAUGCGCAGAUAUCAGGAGGAACACCGAUGGCGAAGGCAGAUCUCUGGGCCGUAACUGACGCUGAGGAGCGAAAGCAUGGGGA